AGAGACAUACGAAAGAAAGUUUGAGCACUUUUUUUUGUGCUUUUGGUUUUCUCUUUUCAGGAACAAAACCGUGUGAGAGGGUUAAUAGAGAUAGUAGAGUUGUUUAUUUUAUUUUAUUUCUACCACAUGUCAAGAUUUGGGUGGAGACUUUUUGAAAUUUGAAAUAAGAAGAUUUUAAUAUCUCCUCUCCCAAAAAGGGGCGUUGUUGCUUUCUUUUAGAGGAAUUUAUUAUUUAUUGAUUUUCUUCCUUUAUGUGAUUUUUUCUUUUUU
rnacentral:lncRNA from 1 species